rnacentral:rRNA from 1 species
GACGAACGCUGGCGGCGUGCUUAACACAUGCAAGUCGAACGGAAAGGCCCUGCUUUUGUGGGGUGCUCGAGUGGCGAACGGGUGAGUAACACGUGAGUAACCUGCCCUUGACUUUGGGAUAACUUCAGGAAACUGGGGCUAAUACCGGAUAGGAGCUCCUGCUGCAUGGUGGGGGUUGGAAAGUUUCGGCGGUUGGGGAUGGACUCGCGGCUUAUCAGCUUGUUGGUGGGGUAGUGGCUUACCAAGGCUUUGACGGGUAGCCGGCCUGAGAGGGUGACCGGCCACAUUGGGACUGAGAGACGGCCCAGACUCCUACGGGAGGCAGCAGGGGGGAAUAUUGCACAAUGGGCGGAAGCCAGAUGCAGCAACGCCGCGUGCGGGAUGACGGCCUUCGGGUUGUAAACCGCUUUCGCCUGUGACGAAGCGUGAGUGACGGUAAUGGGUAAAGAAGCACCGGCUAACUACGUG